rnacentral:lncRNA from 1 species
UCCAUCAAAAAUUAUUCAAAUGACUUGAAACAAGGCACCAAUAAUUUCUAGAGACAAAAAUAAUGGGGGUCCAUGUUUAAAAUAUUUUCAGAAUGAUAAAAUAAAUGAGGGUAAAAAAUAAAAUAAAGUUGAAAAUAAAUAAGGUGAAAAUAAACAAAAAAAAAGUGAAAUAAAAAUAAAAUAAGGGAAAUGCACACAUUAGGGUUUGAACCCCUGACCUUAAGGUCAUAGGGGGGAUCAACCCCCUCUCCCAUUGGGCCAAGCACUCUCUAGUGUUAGAAAAUGCACUAAACAUAAUAAAUAAAAUAAAAACAAAUGAAAAGUAAAGCGUGUGCUGGCCAACCAAUUAGGACACGACAACCAAAGUUUUUGAAUUCAAAAUUUGCAUGAAACAGUCGUCUUCAACCUUCGACCUC